UGCAGUCGAGCGGCAGCGCGGGGCAACCUGGCGGCGAGCGGCGAACGGGUGAGUAAUGUAUCGGAACGUACCUCGUCGUGGGGGAUAACGCAGCGAAAGUUGUGCUAAUACCGCAUACGUCCUGAGGGAGAAAGCGGGGGACUCGUAAGGGCCUCGCGCGAUGAGAGCGGCCGAUAUCUGAUUAGCUAGUUGGUGGGGUAAAGGCUCACCAAGGCGACGAUCAGUAGCUGGUCUGAGAGGACGACCAGCCACACUGGGACUGAGACACGGCCCAGACUCCUACGGGAGGCAGCAGUGGGGAAUUUUGGACAAUGGGGGAAACCCUGAUCCAGCCAUUCCGCGUGAGUGAAGAAGGCCUUCGGGUUGUAAAGCUCUUUCGGUGGGAACGAAACGGUACAGGCGAAUACCCUGUGCUAAUGACGGUACCCAAAGAAGAAGCACCGGCUAAC
rnacentral:rRNA from 1 species